UAUUGCUUGCCGCCGGGUAAGAAAUCGCAGCGCAGAUCCAUUUCGUUAGGCCUUAGAAGAGAUGGAUAUCGGCGCUUUUGUUUUAU
rnacentral:ncRNA from 1 species